rnacentral:rRNA from 1 species
UACGAAAGGGGCUAGCGUUGUUCGGAAUUACUGGGCGUAAAGCGCACGUAGGCGGCCUUGUAAGAUGGGGGUGAAAUCCCCGGGCUCAACCCGGGAAUUGCCUUCAUGACUGCAAAGCUCGAGGAUGCGAGAGGUGAAUGGAAUUCCGAGUGUAGAGGUGAAAUUCGUAGAUAUUCGGAAGAACACCAGUGGCGAAGGCGGCUAACUGGCGCAUUUCUGACGCUGAGGUGCGAAAGCGUGGGGAGCAAACAGG